rnacentral:rRNA from 1 species
CGGGUGGCUGCAGUGGGGAAUUUUGGACAAUGGGCGCAAGCCUGAUCCAGCAAUGCCGCGUGAGGGAUGAAGGUCUUCGGAUUGUAAACCUCUUUUGGAGGGGAUGAAGCUUCUAGCAAUAGGAGUUGACAGUACCUUCCGAAUAAGCCACGGCUAACUACGUGCCAGCAGCCGCGGUAAUACGUAGGUGGCGAGCGUUAUUCGGAUUUACUAGGUGUAAAGCACAGGUAGGUGGUCGAGUAAGUUGGGAGUGAAAGCCCUUGAUAAGUCAGGGGAUGUCUUUCAAAACUGCUCGGCUUGAGUGUAAGAGGGGAAACCGGAAUUCCAGGUGUAGCGGUGAAAUGCGUAGAUAUCUGGAGGAAUACCGAUGGCGAAAGCGGGUUUCUAGCUUAUUACUGACACUGAGCUGUGAAGGCGCGGGGAGCAAACAGGAUUAGAUACCCGAGUAGUC